rnacentral:rRNA from 1 species
GAUGAACGCUGGCGGCGUGCCUAACACAUGCAAGUCGAGCGUGAACCGUCUGAAUGAAACUUCGGUCGAGUGAGGAUGGGGAAAGCGGCGGACGGGUGAGUAACGCGUAGGCAACCUGCCCCGUACAGAGGGAUAGCCUCGGGAAACCGGGAUUAAGACCUCAUAAUACCAUUAUCUCACAUGUGAUAAUGGUCAAAGAUUUUAUCGGUAUGGGAUGGGCUUGCGUCUGAUUAGCUGGUUGGUGGGGUAACGGCUCACCAAGGCGACGAUCAGUAGCCGACCUGAGAGGGUAAUCGGCCACAUUGGAACUGAGACACGGUCCAAACUCCUACGGGAGGCAGCAGUGGGGAAUAUUGCACAAUGGGCGAAAGCCUGAUGCAGCAAACGCCGCGUGAGCGAGGAAGGCCUUUGGGUCGUAAAGCUCUGUCGAGGAGGAAGAUAAAUGACGGUACUCCUCGAGGAAGCCCCGGCUAACUACGUGCCAGCAGCCGCGGUAAAACGU